ensembl:lncRNA
GGACGAAGCUGUGCGCGCAUCCUCUCGGGGUGGUCUAGUGGAAUCAAGUAGAUUGUUGAGACCUGCUUCUUUGCUGGUGGCAAAGGGAAGCUCGCCUCCGACUGUUCCGGCUCGUUUCUGCGACCAGCCUUUGAUCACAUCUAUAGUAAAUGUCGGAGAUCACAUCUAUAGUAAAUGUCGGAGAAGGCAAUGGCACCCCACUCCAGUACUCUUGCCUGGAAAAUCCCAUGGACGGAGGAGCCUGGUGGGCUGCAGUCCAUGGGGUCGCUAACAGUCGAACACGACUGAGCGACUUCACUUUCACUUUUCACUUUCAUGCAUUGGAGAAGGAAAUGGCAACCCACUCCAGUGUUCUUGCCUGGAGAAUCCCAGGGACAGGGGAGCCUGGUGGGCUGCCGUCUAUGGGGUCGCACAGAGUCGGACACGACUGAGGCAACCAGCAGCAGCAGCGGCAUAGUAAAUGGAUAUCAUUACCUUCGAUGACCUGAUCUGAUGAAUCCUUAGAACAGCUCCCCUCGACUCCACAGACACCUGUGAGGAGAGAGAAUACCUCAUCUGUCGGUGUUUUCUUGGCAUCCAGCGCAUAAAUGCCAUUUGGGUGACUGUCAAUAUACUUAAAUAACCAUGUCAAUAAUAAUAAAAGAAUAAUGCCAACAUAUAUAGCAGAUAUAGGUGAUUUGAAAGAAAGGUAGUUCAUGUAAAGAUACAUUAUAGUUUUCCAUGUCUCUACAAGAAAAUUAUAAAUGAAGCCCAUGAGUCUUAAAAACAAAACAGCCAUUUGAUGACAAGCAUAUUUUUUUCAAGAUACCCUCUCCAUUUUGCUUUACUCUUCUCGUGAUGAUGGAGAAUAAGCCUGGCUGGGUCAAAGCAUCCCCCUGGCCAUCAGCAGAGAACCAAUCCUUGCAAAUAUCCUUCAUUUCAGGAAUGCACAGAGGAGAGCGCGGCCAAUCCCUUAACCGCGAGGCACGGCUUCAUUUGCCGUUUCACCAACGGCCAGCAGACGGCGCCCGACUCUCCUUGGGAUCAACCGGCGCCUCAACAGUUGAGGGAAACUCAAGCUCAGGUUCUCCGACAUUCUGAGAUUCCCAGUGUGAAAAGCCAGCUUAGUUUUUCGCUGUUCCCACUGUGUGACACCCCGGGGGCUGAGGAAAUAGUUAAAAGCGAAGCUUACAUGGCCCUUCCAUGGCGCUUAGCAGACAACAAGGAUGUGCUGGUGUCAGAAGCUUCGCUGGGAUGGUGGGGACUUGGCCACCUAAAACCUUGCUCUCUCUCCACCUCAUUUUCCCAAGUGCGGUGGGACUACAAGGGGAACGUCUUCACCACUGACAGCUUGGGGUCCUUUGGACCUGUGAUCAGGCCAUCCAGCCAGUGUGAAGAUGAUGUGGGGCAGGAGUCCCUCCCUGAAGGCUAAUCCCUUGGAACAUGGAGGCUCCCAGCGUUCACUUUUCUGCCUGGGUUUCUAAGACCUGAAUGGGAAGACGUUCUGCGUCUUCACUCCCUCAGGAGAUCAGGAGGACACCUGUGGCCUCCGUAAAUAGAACAAUCUUCUUGUCUCAGAGUUUUAUUGGUUUUCUGUGUAAACCAAAAAAUAUCAGCCUCUUUCUCUCCUCUAUUUUCUUAUCUACAAUAUUCUUUCCUUAUCUCUAAACCAUCCGCUGACGCCGUUUUCCCUUCAGGUACCCUGGAUCCUGCGGAGACUGGACCCCGACACCCUAGGGUGUGGAGCUCAGGCAGUCAGCCCACACUCACUUCACAGUAGUCAGCACCUGUGCCAGACACCCCAGGCUUCCCAGACGCCUCUCUGGAGCUCUGAGAGGAAGGGAGGUUUGGGAACCUUAAACGGGCUGCCUGUCCCCUCAGCCGCUUCCCUGUGUGGUCCCACUGCCCAGACCAGAGCUGGGGGUCUCGUCCCUUCUGUGCUUGUGGCCCGAGGGUGGAGGAGGGCCUGCUGUGACGUCCUCACAGGACCUUGACCCCUAGCCGUGUGAAUUGCAGGUGCUGAGGGAACAGGACAAAGUCUGGUUUAUCUAUGUCUUGGGUGGAGUCUGAUACUUCUCACCAGUAGAAGCUUCCAAUAUGUUAUGUAACAUUUUCAUGAAUCCUUCCAUACAUUUAAUAAGAACCAGUGAAAUUUACAGUCACUGGACCUCCGAGCAGGUGCAGUGAGGAGGCCUAGAAACGGGCGGUGUGAAGGGCCCCUGUCACCACCCCCACGAUCCAGUGUGAGGACCCAAAGUAGAUUCUCAGGAAGGCUGAAGAGGCCCCUUCCAGGCUCUGAGCCCCCAGCCCGAUACCCUAAACCUCUAGCCCCAACCUGAGCCCAGGCAGGGCACAGCACAGGCAUAUUUGGAGAAACAAAUACUUCUUCACCUCCCUGCUCAUGGUCAUGGGGACACUCCUCUUCAAAGGAUACCUGGCCCAGCCCUCUAAAUGGAGCAGAUGGUAUUCUGGAGACUCGGCCUCUGGAGGAAUGAGGGGUGGGUAAGGAAGAUUCUGUGCUGGUGAUUGAAACCUCCCCCAGAUCCAGGAGGCAAAGCUGGAGUGGCCAGGGGCUUGGUGGCCACGGCCCUUUGCUCAUGGAGGCAGCUCUGAUUCCUAAGAGUGUGAUUUUUGCACACAGCCUGACCUGUCUUGGUUUGGACCAUGGCUCUUUUUGAUCUUUCCCUCUUCUCAGUGGAUGAAGAGCCUAAAAAAGAAUUUCAGUUUGUAUUUACUUUACCCUUGGACAGAACCUAUAGUAGAACCAGGGCUGGGCCCAGGGGUCUCUGCUGACUCUGAGUCUGGUCCCAGAGCCUCUUCUCUGGGAGGCAGGAGGCCAUGGGGAGCAGAAGGCGGUUCCCUCCAACACAGGUGUUGACCCCGGAGCCUCACGGUUCUCACCAUUCAUGUCCUUGUCUUAACCUUCCUUGUGCAGACUUGGGGAUCGUGACCUUGAGGCUGCUCUAGUCUGCAGAUGUGGAUUUGAGGUCCUGCCCUGUUUAGGGAAGGAGGGAGCCCCGUAAUCACAAGAUCUUUGUUUAUUGGUUCUGCCCUGGGCUGUGAGUACAUCCUUGAGAAGACUUUUCUCAUUGCAUUAGCUCCACAAGCUACCCCAGUUUUGUACUUUAGCAUCCGAUCCAUGAUUAACUUGUUCCUCAGGUUUUAACACCCACCUUGUCUUGGAAACACCUCUGAUUCUGGUGGGUCUGGCUCUGCACAGAGUCAGACACAUUCUUGGCUCCAUGAUGUGCAUCUUCUGGAUCCCACCCCACCCCCCAAACUCCAGC